GUAUCACAAUAAAAGAAGCACAUGUGCUAAAACUGGAACAAUACAGAGAAGAUUAGCAUUGCCACUAUACUAUAAGAGAAGCAGUACCUUUGAGAAAUAAUUAUAAUAAUU